UCUCUCUCUCUCUCUCUCUCUCAUGCUAUUCUUUAUCUUUUAAACAUUCUUGUUUAUCUCUUCUUCUUUGCAUGUCCAAAUCUCAGUUUUUUUUUGUAAAUUUCAAAAGAAAAUUCAAUACAAUCCAAUCCAAGAAUGUUUGUUUUUCCUCAAGAGGUAUUCGAGGUAUGAAAACUAGUUUUUGCUACUAGGUCACAUGCAUAAAGAACAUGUUAGUUUUGAGUGUGAUUACACGGCGGCGCGUGCGUGGACUCGUCUUUGGAAGAAGUGGGUGGGCCAUUUCUGUUUUCACAUGCAAGGGUUGUUCCCAAGGAACAAUCAAGGGUCGCUUGGGAUCAUGAACUUAGAACCCGCCGUCUCUUCCACCGCUCUCCAUCAAAACUUUUAGGUAUAUGGUAAAACAAAGCUCCUUAUAUCAUCUUUAAAUCUAUUUUGAACAAAUACCUUAUUUUGAAGAAAAAAAAAACAAAUAAUAAAAAUAUGAAAACUCAAUUUUUAUGAUUAGAAACUAAAAUAUCAGUAGUUUUUAAAUCAAUAGAUGGAAAAAAAAACAUGCACUUUUAAAAUGCGGGUCAAAAUCUAGUUUUAGUUGAAAAAGAAUAGAGAAUCUCUAUAAUAUAUAUUGUGUUUGUUCCAAUGUAUUCUUAUACAAUAAUAUUACUCGAAAUUUUGAGUUAAAAUAUAAAUCAUUACUUAUUUUCCUAAUAUAGAAAAAUAGCAAUUUUAUUUUAGGAAAAUAAAUAAAAUAGAUUACAGUGGAUUUACCUUUACAUACUGUUACAUUUUAUUCAUCUUUCUUCUCCUUUUAAAAGGAGUAAUCGUUUGAAAAGAUUAACAAUGAGUGAAUUUUGCUGUGCAUGGUCAAGACGUGGUGAUGUUUCCAUAACAAGCUUUUAUCGUCAGUUACCAAUAUAUGAGCUGAAAGGCACAUUCUUAUUUUGAAUAUAUUGAAUGUUUUCGAGGAAAUCCGGUGAUGGACAAUGAUCUCUAAAAUGCCAUAUGUAUAUGAUUUCCAAGUAUAUGAGUAAAAUCCAGCGAUGGACAUUGAUCUUGUUUGCAAUGUAUCAAUAAUGUGCUAUUCUUUUAGUGUAUAUAUAUAUAAGUCUUACAGUGAGUAUUGGGCUACUUCAGACUUUAGUUUAGUGCCAAGUCUCUGAUGGAUUAAGAACAUAUCAGGCUAUGAAUUAACCCGCCUUGCGUGUUUGUUUUGUAUCUAUGCAUGCAUCUUACGCUGAGGGCACAGACUCCUCGGUUUUCUUUUCUUCAACAGCUUUCUCUGCGUGCAUCUGCUGAUGCUACCUU
rnacentral:lncRNA from 1 species